rnacentral:rRNA from 1 species
AUUGAACGCUGGCGGCAUGCCUUACACAUGCAAGUCGAACGGCAGCACGGGUGCUUGCACCUGGUGGCGAGUGGCGAACGGGUGAGUAAUACAUCGGAACAUGUCCUGUAGUUGGGGAGAGCGCGGCGAAAGCCGGAUUAAUACCGCAAACGAACUACGGCUGAAAGCGGGGGAACGUCAGCUCUGGCCCUUUAGGGUUGGCCGGUGGCUGUUUAGUUGUUGGGUGGGGUAAGGGCCAACGAAGGCGCGGACCAGGAGCGGUGGUGAGGGGGCGACCAGCACACCGGAGCCUGAGAAACGGCCCAGACCCCCAGGGGGGGAAGCAGUGGGAAAAUUGGACAAUGGGCGCAAGCCUGAUCCAGCAAUGCCGCGUGUGUGAAGAAGGCCUUCGGGUUGUAAAGCACUUUUGUCCGGAAAGAAAACCUUGGCCUUAAUACGGUCGGGGGAUGACGGUACCGGAAGAAUAAGCACCGGCUAACUACGUG